AGAGAGAGACAUGCGCGCAUAUCAAUAAGCGGAGGAAAAGAAACUAACUAGGAUUCCCUCAGUAACGGCGAGUGAAGCGGGAAGAGCUCAAAUUUGAAAUCUUCAAGGUUCUACCUUGACGAAUUGUAGUUUAAAGAAGUGUUUUCUGUUGGAGUUUUGGUAAAAGUUCUUUGGAAUAGGACAUCAUAGAGGGUGAGAAUCCCGUAUUUGACCAUUAUUUCCAGCUUUGUGAUACACUUUCAAAGAGUCGGAUUGUUUGGGAAUGCAGUCCAAAAUGGGUGGUAAAUUUCAUCUAAAGCUAAAUAUUGGCGAGAGACCGAUAGCGAACAAGUACCGUGAGGGAAAGAUGAAAAGAACUUUGAAAAGAGAGUUAAACAGUACGUGAAAUUGUCAAAAGGGAAGCGUUUGACACCAGUGUUGUUUUCUCGAAAAUCAAUUAAAAAAGGCAGGAUUUUGUGUUGUAUUGACUUUAUCAGCUUUCUGCACUCUUUUCUUGUCUUUUUUAAUGCACUUUUCGUUUAACAAGUCAACAUCAAUUUCUUUUGUUGUAAAAGGGUCAUUGGAAGGUGGCUUUCUUUUCGGAGAAAGUGUUUAUAGCCUUUGCCUCUGCAAUCGGAGAGAUUGAGGUCUGCAGCGUAGAUCCUUCGGGGUUAGAUACAUUUGUGCUAAGUUAUAGCCUUUCAUAGACAACUUGUUGACUAUGAUCAGUCAUGUAGCUUACUCGCUUAUGCUAUUUUACCUACGCUUAGGAUGUUGAUGUGAUACUGCGAGCA
rnacentral:rRNA from 1 species